UACCGCCUUGGACACGACCAGUCUCAUCCGAUCUUGGAAGCCCAGAAAGGUCUGGCCUGGUUAGUGCUUGGAUGGCAAACCCCAGGGCAUAACUAGAA
rnacentral:rRNA from 1 species